UACGUAGGGUGCGAGCGUUGCCCGGAUUUAUUGGGCGUAAAGGGCGCGUAGGUGGUUCUGUGUGCUCCGCGUGAAAUCGCCCGGCUCAACCGGGCGGGGUCGCGGAUGACUACAGGACUGGAGCCUGGGAGGGGGAAGCGGAAUUCCCGGUGUAGUGGUGGAAUGCGUAGAUAUCCGGAGGAACACCAGUGGCGAAGGCGGCCGCCUGGACCUGACCUGACGCUGAGGCGCGAAGGCGUGGGGAGCGAACGGG
rnacentral:rRNA from 1 species